AGUUUGAUCCUGGCUCAGGAUGAACGCUAGCGGCAGGCUUAACACAUGCAAGUCGAGGGGUAUAGUAGCAAUACUAGAGACCGGCGCACGGGUGCGUAACGCGUAUGCAAUCUACCUUUCACAGAGGGAUAGCCCAGAGAAAUUUGGAUUAAUACCUCAUAGUAUAGCAGCUUCGCAUGAAGCCACUAUUAAAGUCACAACGGUGAAAGAUGAGCAUGCGUCCCAUUAGUUAGUUGGUAAGGUAACGGCUUACCAAGACUACGAUGGGUAGGGGUCCUGAGAGGGAGAUCCCCCACACUGGUACUGAGACACGGACCAGACUCCUACGGGAGGCAGCAGUGAGGAAUAUUGGACAAUGGGCGCAAGCCUGAUCCAGCCAUGCCGCGUGCAGGAUGACGGUCCUAUGGAUUGUAAACUGCUUUUGUACAGGAAGAAACCCUUUCACGUGUGAAAGAUUGACGGUACUGUAAGAAUAGGGAUCGGCUAACUCCGUGCCAGCAGCCGCGGUAAUACGGAGGAUCCAAGCGUUAUCCGGAAUCAUUGGGUUUAAAGGGUCCGUAGGCGGUCAGGUAAGUCAGUGGUGAAAUCCCAUCGCUCAACGGUGGAACGGCCAUUGAUACUGUCUGACUUGAAUUAUUAGGAAGUAACUAGAAUAUGUAGUGUAGCGGUGAAAUGCUUAGAGAUUACAUGGAAUACCAAUUGCGAAGGCAGGUUACUACUAAUUGAUUGACGCUGAUGGACGAAAGCGUGGGUAGCGAACAGGAUUAGAUACCCUGGUAGUCCACGCCGUAAACGAUGGAUACUAGCUGUUGGGAGUGAUCUCAGUGGCUAAGCGAAAGUGAUAAGUAUCCCACCUGGGGAGUACGUU
rnacentral:rRNA from 1 species